rnacentral:rRNA from 1 species
AACGAACGCUGGCGGCAGGCCUAACACAUGCAAGUCGAGCGAAGCCUUCGGGCUUAGCGGCGGACGGGUGAGUAACGCGUGGGAACGUGCCCUUUGGUACGGAAUAGCCCCGGGAAACUGGGAGUAAUACCGGAUGUGGCCUUCGGGGGAAAGAUUUAUCGCCAAAGGAUCGGCCCGCGUUGGAUUAGGGAGUUGGUGGGGUAAUGGCCUACCAAGCCGACGAUCCAUAGCUGGUUUGAGAGGAUGAUCAGCCACACUGGGACUGAGACACGGCCCAGACUCCUACGGGAGGCAGCAGUGGGGAAUCUUGGACAAUGGGGGAAACCCUGAUCUAGCCAUGCCGCGUGAUCGAUGAAGGCCUUAGGGUUGUAAAGAUCUUUCAGUGGGGAAGAUAAUGACUGUACCCACAGAAGAAGCCCCGGCUAACUCCGUGCCAGCCGCCGCAGUAACAC